UCCGUAGGUGAACCUGCGGAGGGAUCAUUACAAGUGACCCCGGUCUAACCACCGGGAUGUUCAUAACCCUUUGUUGUCCGACUCUGUUGCCUCCGGGGCGACCCUGCCUUCGGGCGGGGGCUCCGGGUGGACACUUCAAACUCUUGCGUAACUUUGCAGUCUGAGUAAACUUAAUUAAUAAAUUAAAACUUUUAACAACGGAUCUCUUGGUUCUGGCAUCGAUGAAGAACGCAGCGAAAUGCGAUAAGUAAUGUGAAUUGCAGAAUUCAGUGAAUCAUCGAAUCUUUGAACGCACAUUGCGCCCCCUGGUAUUCCGGGGGGCAUGCCUGUUCGAGCGUCAUUUCACCACUCAAGCCUCGCUUGGUAUUGGGCAACGCGGUCCGCCGCGUGCCUCAAAUCGACCGGCUGGGUCUUCUGUCCCCUAAGCGUUGUGGAAACUAUUCGCUAAAGGGUGCUCGGGAGGCUACGCCGUAAAACAAACCCAUUUCUAAGGUUGACCUCGGAUCAGGUAGGGAUACCCGCUGAACUUAAGCAUAUCAAUAAGCGGAGGAAAAGAAACCAACAGGGAUUGCCUCAGUAACG
rnacentral:rRNA from 1 species